UGCGGAGGGAUCAUUACACAAAUUAAAAUAUGAAGGCUUCGGCUGGAUUGUUUUUAUCACCCUUGUCUUUUGCGCACUUGUUGUUUCCUGGGCGGGUUCGCCCGCCACCAGGACCACACCAUAAACCUUUUUUAUGCAGUUGCAAUCAGCGUCAGUAUAACAAAUGUAAAUCAUUUACAACUUUCAACAACGGAUCUCUUGGUUCUGGCAUCGAUGAAGAACGCAGCGAAAUGCGAUACGUAGUGUGAAUUGCAGAAUUCAGUGAAUCAUCGAAUCUUUGAACGCACAUUGCGCCCUUUGGUAUUCCAAAGGGCAUGCCUGUUCGAGCGUCAUUUGUACCCUCAAGCUUUGCUUGGUGUUGGGCGUCUUUUGUCUUUGGCCUCGCCCAAAGACUCGCCUUAAAACGAUUGGCAGCCGGCCUACUGGUUUCGCAGCGCAGCACAUUUUUGCGCUUGCAAUCAGCAAAAAGGACGGCAAUCCAUCAAGACUACAUUUUUACGUUUGACCUCGGAUCGGGUAGGGAUACCCGCUGAACUUAAGCAUAU
rnacentral:rRNA from 1 species